AGAUACCCUAUUAUUUUAAGCUAUAUAUUGGUAGUAAUUAAUAAUUUAUGAAAUCAUAAGAUUUUGGCGGUAUUUUAAGCUUAUUAGAGGAAUUUGCUCUGUAAUGGAUACAACGCCUUAAUCUUACUUAAUUUGGUUUAAAAGUCAGUUUGUAUACCACUAUAUUUAAUUAUAUUGAAUAAUUAUAUUUAAGAUUUUUUUUUAUAAAAAAUAUAUUAAGUCAAGGUGCAAUUUAUAAUUAUGAAUGAAGUGAAUUACAUUAAUUUUAAUUUUACUUAAAUAUUGAAAAAAAAAUUAUAGGAUUUAAUAGUAAAA
rnacentral:rRNA from 1 species